GACGAACGCUGGCGGCGUGCUUAACACAUGCGAGUCGAACGGAAAGGCCCUGCUUUUGUGGGGUGCUCGAGUGGCGAACGGGUGAGUAACACGUGAGUAACCUGCCCUUGACUUUGGGAUAACUUCAGGAAACUGGGGCUAAUACCGGAUAGGAGCUCCUGCUGCAUGGUGGGGGUUGGAAAGUUUCGGCGGUUGGGGAUGGACUCGCGGCUUAUCAGCUUGUUGGUGAGGUAGUGGCUUACCAAGGCUUUGACGGGUAGCCGGCCUGGGAGGGUGACCGGCGUCAUUGGGACUGAGAGACGGCCCAGACGCCUACGGUAGGCAGCAGUGGGAAAUAUUGCACAAUGGGCGGAAGCCUGAUGCAGCAACGCCGCGUGCGGAAUGACGGCCUUCGGGUUGUAAACCGCUUUCGCCUGUGACGAGGCGUGAGUGACGGUAAUGGGUAAAGAAGCACCGGCUAACUACGUG
rnacentral:rRNA from 1 species